rnacentral:rRNA from 1 species
UACGGGGGGGGGCAAGCGUUGUUCGGACUUACUGGGCGUAAAGGGCUCGUAGGCGGCCAACUCAGUCGGACGUGAAAUCCCUCGGCUUAACCGGGGAACUGCGUCCGAUACUGGAUGGCUUGAGUGUGGGAGAGGGAUGCGGAAUUCCAGGUGUAGCGGUGAAAUGCGUAGAUAUCUGGAGGAACACCGGUGGCGAAGGCGGCAUCCUGGACUACUACUGACGCUGAGGAGCGAAAGCCAGGGGAGCAAACGGG